UACGUAGGGUGCGAGCGUUGUCCGGAAUUAUUGGGCGUAAAGGGCUCGUAGGCGGCCAACUAAGUCGGACGUGAAAUCCCCAGGCUCAACCUGGGAACUGCGUCCGAUACUGGAUGGCUUGAAUCCGGGAGAGGGAUGCAGAAUUCCAGGUGUAGCGGUGAAAUGCGUAGAUAUCUGGAGGAAUACCGGUGGCGAAGGCGGCAUCCUGGACCGGCAUUGACGCUGAGGCGCGAAAGCUAGGGGAGCAAACGGG
rnacentral:rRNA from 1 species